UACAGAGGGGGCAAGCGUUGUUCGGAAUUACUGGGCGUAAAGGGCGUGUAGGUGGUAUCGUAAGUCUGGCGUGAAAUUUCUCGGCUUAACCGAGGCAGGUCGUCGGAUACUGCGAGGCUAGAGGACGGUAGAGGCGUGUGGAAUUCCGGGUGUAGUGGUGAAAUGCGUAGAGAUCCGGAGGAACACCAGUGGCGAAGGCGACACGCUGGGCCGUACCUGACACUGAUGCGCGACAGCAUGGGGAGCAAACAGG
rnacentral:rRNA from 1 species